rnacentral:rRNA from 1 species
UACGUAGGGUGCGAGCGUUAAUCGGAAUUACUGGGCGUAAAGCGUGCGUAGGCGGUUCGUUAAGUUCGUUGUGAAAUCCCCGGGCUUAACCUGGGAACCGCAUUUGUGACUGCAUAGCUGGAGUACGGCAGAGGGGGAUGGAAUUCCGCGUGUAGCAGUGAAAUGCGUAGAUAUGCGGAGGAACACCGAUGGCGAAGGCAGUCCCCUGGGCCUGUACUGACGCUCAUGCACGAAAGCGUGGGGAGCAAACAGG